GGGGUCAUGGCGCAGUCGGUAGCGCGUAGGUCUCAUAAUCCUAAGGUCGUGAGUUCGAUCCUCACUGACCCCA
rfam:Naegleria gruberi genomic scaffold NAEGRscaffold_37, whole genome shotgun sequence.